UGGGGAGCAGGCAGGCUGCCCCAGGGCUGGGGCCAGAGAGGAGGAUGCCACAGUCCCCCCAUUCUACCCCCCAGCAGCACACUCACCCAGCACUGUCACUGCACAUCUCUAGGGGCCAGGCCCCUUUCUGGUCCAGGAAGCCCCUUUGCCUCCCCUGUGGUGGGUGCGGGUGGGGCUGCCAUCCUGUGUGCGCCUCCACAGGCGGCGGCUGUGCAGCCACCUCGUCCUGCCUCGGGUGCCCGUCCCUUUUGUAGCCGGCAGCGGCCGGCGAGGGAGCACAGCGCGGCGUGGCAGGGCAGCAGCCUGCUGCCCAGGGCACGGGCAGGGACGCUCCGGGGGGGGGCAUGCGGGGGAGGCAGGCGGGGCUGGGGGAGAGACCCAACCCCAAACAUUGGUGAAGCCGGGCCCCAGGCCCUGAAUUUUCUGGAGCAUGGGCACCACGGGCCCAUAUAACUCACCGUCCAUGGGUUUAUUUGACCACCUCUGUGGUGGUUUCUUCUCAUUCACCAGACAUACUGUCAUGGGUCAACCAGAGAAAUCACAGGAUUUACCAGGACACUGCAACUAACAACUCCAAUACACACAGGUGUGUGUGCACCCCAAGCACAGUUGCUGAAAAUUUUCCCCUCAGCGGUACCUCUCGUUAAGGCACCCAGCCAUCCCCUCGCCCCCUCCAUUCCUUCUUUCCAGAAAACUACGAUGUAGAGGGCAGGAGGGUGGAUCGCAGAAUAGACACGUGCAACACAUCUCGAAGAACAACGUUACCAGAUUUGCCCGUUACUUUGGGGUCAUUGAGGCCUGAUAUGAAUGAUGCGUACUUGACAUGAAUACGUGCAUUGAAAGUUGGCAACUGAAGCAAGAACUUAAGGUCAAGGACUAUUAGAACUAUUUGGGCAAAAACAAUCUUAUGUUCCAAGAAAAAUACAGAAAAUCAUCAGAAAAGGAAACAACACCAGCUGGACUGAUAUAAAAUUGUAUAAGAAUUGGAGGAAAUGGCACAUUGGAUCAUGGCGGCCUGCCCAGGAUUGUGUCUUUGGAAUUGUGUGGGUAGAAGGACUAGUAAACAAAGGCAAAGAACGGAUGACGCAACGGAAUGCACUAUAAAUGGUUUCCUAUGAUUUUUACAAAUCAGAAUUGUUUAUUGAUCCAGAGCCCCAUGUGGAUAUAGAUGUGGUUUUUGCUGGCUCCCUGCAUCUUAUGAUCUUAUCCUGACGGAAGGAACCUCAACUGACCAUUGGGACCAUUCUGACCUUUGGACUCUGGCAUAGUAUGUUUGGGGUGUGAAUGUGGAGUGAGAAAGGUUUGUUUUGUAAUCAGUAAAGAGCAUUUAGAGUAUUAUAUACCAACACAGCAUCCGCUAUCUACUUGCUUCCCAUCCCGUAGGGAGACCUCUACUGCGGGUCUAACACAAGGUCGUCUGCCUAAGAAUGCUGGUCUUGGCUGCAGAAUGGGCGACUGUAUCCUAGAAAGCAGUGGCUCUGAAAAGGAUUUAGGGAUCACAGUUGACGGACAUCUGAACAUGAGCCCCCAGUGUGAUCCUGCGGUGAAAAGGGCUAAUGUGAUGUUUGGAUGUAUAAUCAGAGGAGUAAUAAGUAGGGCAAGAGUGAUUUUACUCCUGCGUACCACAUUGGUGAGACUGAUACGAUAAUACUGUGUACAGUUCUUGUAGUCACAUUUUACAAAUUAUGUUGAAACACUGGAGAGGGUACAGAGAGGAGCCACAAAAUGAUCACAGGGCUAGACAAAAUACCUCACAGCGAGGGACUUAGAGCUCAAUGUGUGCAGCUUCUCAAAAAGAAGAUUCAGAGGUGCGGUGAUUUGAUUUCAAUUUAAAUGCCUUUACGGGGAGAAAAUGCUGGGCCCUAGAGGGCUGUUUAAUGUAAUAGAGGAAGAGCCACUGCCAAGGACUGCAAAAUGAAGCAAAACAAAUUUGAAUUAGGAAUAAAUUCCCAAGUUUUAAAGGUGAGGGUGAUUAACCACUGGAACAAACUUGCGAGGGAAGUGGUGGAUCUCUGUCUCUUGAUGUCUUCAGAUCAAGGCUGGAUGCCUUUCUAGGUGUUCUUUAGGCAAACAUAAGUUAUUGGCAAAAAGAACAGGAGGACUUGUGGCACCUUAGAGACUAACAAAUUUAUUUGAGCAUAAGCUUUCGUGAGCUACACCUCACUUCAUCGGAUGAAUCCAUCAUGCAUCCAAUGAAGUGAGCUGUAGCUCACGAAAGCUUAUGCUCAAAUAAAUUUGUUCGUCUCUAAGGUGCCACAAGUCCUCCUGUUCUUUUUGCGGAUACAGACUAACACGGCUGCUACUCUGAAGUAAGUUAUUGGGUAGCUGGGUGAAAUGUAGUAGCCUGUGAUAUACAGGUGAUCAGAUUAGAUUAUCUCAUAUAUAGAUAGAUAACCCUAUGGAACUCAUUUCCACUAGAUAGCAUUGAGACUUGGACCUCAUGGAAUUUUGAAAAAGGGUCAGAUAGAAACAUAGAUAAUGAGAACCUCCAGAGUUACACUAGCUGAACUAAUAUUUAAUGUAUAUAUGAGGAAUCUGUUUCAGGGCACAAACCAACAACUGGUUGACAGGAUUAGGCAGAAACUUUUGCUAGGGACAGAUUUUGCCAUAAUUGUCCACUGCGGGGUUUCCUGCAUGAUCCAACCAAGCGUGUAGUGCUGGCCGCUGUCAGACACAGGACUAGCUGAACAAUUGGUCUGCUCUGAUGUGGCUAUUGGGACUGAACAACGUCAUGGCAGUUGAAGAAAGAAGAAAGAGUUGAUUUUGCAGACAGGUAAAAAGAGGGGCUCAGAUCCCAGACUCUUCCCAGUGAGAGGGAGUGAGCAGGCAGCUGAACAAAAACGGAUCCCCUUAAAAAUUCUUCAGGAACCAGGGAUUUACUCCCACAA